GGAGCAAAUCCCUAAAAGCCAUCCCAGUUCGGAUUGCAGGCUGAAACCCGCCUGUAUGAAGUUGGAAUCGCUAGUAAUCGCGGAUCAGCAUGCCGCGGUGAAUACGUUCCCGGGCCUUGUACACACCGCCCGUCACACCAUGAGAGUCGGGAACACCCGAAGUCCGUAGUCUAACCGCAAGGGGACGCGGCCGAAGGUGGGUUCGAUAAUUGGGGUGAAGUCGUAACAAGGUACC
rnacentral:rRNA from 1 species